GUGAAGAACGCAGUGAAAUGCGAUACGUAAUGUGAAUUGCAGAAUUCAGUGAAUCAUCGAGUCUUUGAACGCACAUUGCGCCCCCUGGUAUUCCGGGGGGCAUGCCUGUCCGAGCGUCAUUGCUGCCCUCAAGCACGGCUUGUGUGUUGGGCCUCCGUCCUCCUCCCGGGGGACGGGCCCGAAAGGCAGCGGCGGCACCGCGUCCGGUCCUCGAGCGUAUGGGGCUUCGUCACCCGCUCUUGUAGGCCCGGCCGGCGCUUGCCGACACAUCAAUCUUUUUUCCAGGUUGACCUCGGAUCAGGUAGGGAUACCCGCUGAACUUAAGCAUAUCAAUAAGCGGAGGA
rnacentral:misc_RNA from 1 species